UACGGGGGGGGCAAGCGUUGUUCGGAAUUACUGGGCGUAAAGGGCUCGUAGGUGGCCAACUAAGUCAGACGUGAAAUCCCUCAGCUUAACUGGGGAACUGCGUCUGAUACUGGAUGGCUCGAGGCCGGUAGGGGGAAGCGGAAUUCCCGGUGUAGUGGUGGAAUGCGUAGAUAUCGGGAGGAACACCAGUGGCGAAGGCGGCUUCCUGGACCGGUUCUGACACUGAGGAGCGAAAGCGUGGGGAGCGAUCCGG
rnacentral:rRNA from 1 species